GAUGAACGCUGGCGGCGUGCCUAAUACAUGCAAGUCGAGCGAACGGACGAGAAGCUUGCUUCUCUGAUGUUAGCGGCGGACGGGUGAGUAACACGUGGAUAACCUACCUAUAAGACUGGGAUAACUUCGGGAAACCGGAGCUAAUACCGGAUAAUAUUUUGAACCGCAUGGUUCAAAAGUGAAAGACGGUCUUGCUGUCACUUAUAGAUGGAUCCGCGCUGCAUUAGCUAGUUGGUAAGGUAACGGCUUACCAAGGCAACGAUGCAUAGCCGACCUGAGAGGGUGAUCGGCCACCCUGGAACUUAGACACGGUCCAGACUCCUACGGGAGGCAGCAGUAGGGAAUCUUCCGCAAUGGGCGAAAGCCUGACGGAGCAACGCCGCGUGAGUGAUGAAGGUCUUCGGAUCGUAAAACUCUGUUAUUAGGGAAGAACAUAUGUGUAAGUAACUGUGCCCAUCUUGACGGUACCUAAUCAGAAAGCCACGGCUAACUACGUG
rnacentral:rRNA from 1 species